GGGAUUGCCCUAGUAACGGCGAGUGAAGCGGCAACAGCUCAAAUUUGAAAUCUGGCGCAAGCCCGAGUUGUAAUUUGCAGAGGAUGUUUCUGGCGACGCGCCUUCCGAGUUCCCUGGAACGGGACGCCAUAGAGGGUGAGAGCCCCGUACGGUUGGAUGCCUAGCCUCUGUGAAACUCCUUCGACGAGUCGAGUAGUUUGGGAAUGCUGCUCUAAAUGGGAGGUAUACGUCUUCUAAAGCUAAAUACCGGCCAGAGACCGAUAGCGCACAAGUAGAGUGAUCGAAAGAUGAAAAGCACUUUGAAAAGAGGGUUAAAAAGUACGUGAAAUUGUUGAAAGGGAAGCGUUCAUGACCAGACUUGGGCAGGUUGAUCAUCCGUGGUUCUCCGCGGUGCACUCUGCCUGCCCAGGCCAGCAUCAGUUCGCCCCGGGGGAUAAAGGCUUUGGGAAUGUGGCUCCCUCGGGAGUGUUAUAGCCCACUGCGUAAUACCCUGGGGUGGACUGAGGUUCGCGCUCUGCAAGGAUGCUGGCGUAAUGGUCAUCAACGACCCGUCUUGAAACACGGACCAAGGAGUCGUCUUCGUAUGCGAGUGUUCGGGUGUCAAACCCCUACGCGUAAUGAAAGUGAACGUAGGAGAGAGCUUCGGCGCAUCUCCGACCGAUCCUGAUGUUCUCGGAUGGAUUUGAGUAAGAGCAUACGGGGCCGGACCCGAAAGAAGGUGAACUAUGCCUGUAUAGGGUGAAGCCAGAGGAAACUCUGGUGGAGGCUCGCAGCGGUUCUGACGUGCAAAUCGAUCGUCAAAUAUGGGCAUGGGGGCGAAAGACUAAUCGAACCUUCUAGUAGCUGGUUUCCGCCG
rnacentral:rRNA from 1 species